rnacentral:lncRNA from 1 species
AUGGAAAAAGCGAGAGAGUUCCAGAAAAACAUCUAUUUCUGCUUUAUUGAUUAUGCUGAAGCCUUUGACUGUGUGGAUCACAAUAAACUGUGGAAAAUUCUGAAAGAGAUGGGAAUACCAAACCACCUGACCUGCCUCUUGAGAAAUCUGUAUGCAGGUCAGGAAGCAACAGUUAGAACUGGACAUGGAACAACAGACUGGUUCCAAAUAGGAAAAGGAGUACGUCAAGGCUGUAUAUUGUCACCCUGCUUCUUUAACUUCUAUGCAGAGUACAUCAUGAGAAAUGCUGGGCUGGAAGAAGCACAAGCUAGAAUCAAGAUUGCUGGGAGAAAUAUCAAUAACCUCAGAUAUGCAGAUGACACCACCCUUAUGGCAGAAAGUGAAGAGGAACUCAAAAGCCUCUUGAUGAAAGUGAAAGUGGAGAGUGAAAAAGUUGGCUUAAAGCUCAACAUUCAGGCAACGAAGAUCAUGGCAUCUGGUCCCAUCACUUCAUGGGAAAUAGAUGGGGAAACAGUGUCAGAUUUUAUUUGGGGGGGCUCCAAAAUCACUGCAGAUGGUGACUGCAGCCAUGAAAUUAAAAGACGCUUACUCCUUGGAAGAAAAGUUAUGACCAACCUAGAUAGCAUAUUCAAAAGCAGAGACAUUACUUUGCUGACUAAGGUCUGUCUAGUCAAGGCUAUGAUUUUUCCUGUGGUCAUGUAUGGAUGUGAGAGCUGGACUGUGAAGAAGGCUGAGCACCGAAGAAUUGUUACUUUUGAACUGUGGUGUUGGAGAAGACUCUUGAGAGUCCCUUGGACUGCAAGGAGAUCCAACCAGUCCAUUCUGAAGGAGAUCGGCCCUGGGAUUUCUUUGGAAGGAAUGAUGUUAAAGCUGAAACUCCAGUACUUUGGCCACCUCAUGCGAAGAUUUGACUCAUUGGGAAAGACUCUGAUGCUGGGAGGGAUUGGGGUCAGGAGGAGAAGGGGACGACAGAGGAUGAGAUGGCUGGAUGGCAUCACUGACUCUACGGAUGUGAGUCUGAGUGAACACCGGGAGUUGGUGAUGGACAGGGAGGCCUGGUGUGCUGCGAUUCAUGGGGUCACAAAGAGUUGGACACGACUAAGUGACUGA